GCCUUUCUGCUACACAUCCAGGAGGCAGCAGGCGCGCAAAUUACCCAAUCCCGACACGGGGAGGUAGUGACAAUAAAUACUGAUACGGGGCUCUUUUGGGUCUCGUAAUUGGAAUGAGUACAAUCUAAAUCCCUUAACGAGGAACAAUUGGAGGGCAAGUCUGGUGCCAGCAGCCGCGGUAAUUCCAGCUCCAAUAGCGUAUAUUAAAGUUGUUGCAGUUAAAAAGCUCGUAGUUGAACCUUGGGUCUGGCUGGCCGGUCCGCCUCACCGCGAGUACUGGUCCGGCUGGACCUUUCCUUCUGGGGAAUCUCAUGGCCUUCACUGGCUGUGGGGGGAACCAGGACUUUUACUGUGAAAAAAUUAGAGUGUUCAAAGCAGGCCUUUGCUCGAAUACAUUAGCAUGGAAUAAUAGAAUAGGACGUGCGGUUCUAUUUUGUUGGUUUCUAGGACCGCCGUAAUGAUUAAUAGGGAUAGUCGGGGGCGUCAGUAUUCAGCUGUCAGAGGUGAAAUUCUUGGAUUUGCUGAAGACUAACUACUGCGAAAGAUUUUGCCAAACUCU
rnacentral:rRNA from 1 species